rnacentral:rRNA from 1 species
CCUACGGGCGGCAGCAGUGAGGAAUAUUGGUCAAUGGACGAGAGUCUGAACCAGCCAAGUAGCGUGAAGGAUGACUGCCCUAUGGGUUGUAAACUUCUUUUAUAAAGGAAUAAAGUGAGGCACGUGUGCCUUUUGUAUGUACUUUAUGAAUAAGGAUCGGCUAACUCCGUGCCAGCAGCCGCGGUAAUACGGAGGAUCCGAGCGUUAUCCGGAUUUAUUGGGUUUAAAGGGAGCGUAGAUGGGUUGUUAAGUCAGUUGUGAAAGUUUGCGGCUCAACCGUAAAAUUGCAAUUGAUACUGGCAGUCUUGAGUACAGUUGAGGUAGGCGGAAUUCGUGGUGUAGCGGUGAAAUGCUUAGAUAUCACGAAGAACUCCGAUUGCGAAGGCAGCUUACUAAACUGCCACUGACAUUGAUGCUCGAAAUUGUGGGUAUCAAACAGGAUUAGAUACCCUGGUAGUC